GAUGAACGCUGGCGGCGUGCCUAAUACAUGCAAGUCGAGCGAACGGACGAGAAGCUUGCUUCUCUGAUGUUAGCGGCGGACGGGUGAGUAACACGUGGAUAACCUACCUAUAAGACUGGGAUAACUUCGGGAAACCGGAGCUAAUACCGGAUGAUAUUUUGAACCGCAUGGUUCAAAAGUGAAAGACGGUCUUGCUGUCACUUAUAGAUGUAUCCGCGCUGCAUUAGCUAGUUGGUAAGGUAACGGCUUACCAAGGCAACGAUGCAUAGCCGACCUGAGAGGGUGAUCGGCCACACUGGAACUGAGACACGGACCAGACUCCUACGGGAGGCAGCAGUAGGGAAUCUUCCGCAAUGGGCGAAAGCCUGACGGAGCAACGCCGCGUGAGUGAUGAAGGUCUUCGGAUCGUAAAACUCUGUUAUUAGGGAAGAACAUAUGUGUAAGUAACUGUGCACAUCUUGACGGUACCUAAUCAGAAAGCCACGGCUAACUACGUG
rnacentral:rRNA from 1 species